rnacentral:rRNA from 1 species
AUUGAACGCUGGCGGCAUGCUUUACACAUGCAAGUCGAGCGGCAGCGCGGGGGCAACCCUGGCGGCGAGCGGCGAACGGGUGAGUAAUGCAUCGGAACGUAUCCUCGAGUGGGGGAUAACCCAGCGAAAGUUGGGCUAAUACCGCAUGAGCUCUGAGGAGGAAAGCGGGGGACCUGCGAGGGCCUCGCGCUGGAGGAGCGGCCGAUGUCCGAUUAGCUAGUUGGUGGGGUAAAGGCUUACCAAGGCGACGAUCGGUAGCUGGUCUGAGAGGAUGAUCAGCCACACUGGGACUGAGACACGGCUCAGACUCCUACGGGAGGCAGCAGUGGGGAAUUUUGGACAAUGGGGGCAACCCUGAUCCAGCCAUGCCGCGUGAGUGAAGAAGGCCUUCGGGUUGUAAAGCUCUUUCGGACGGAACGAAAUGGGCGGGACUAAUACUCCUGUCUGAUGACGGUACCGUAAGAAGAAGCACCGGCUAACUACGUG